UACGUAGGGAGCAAGCGUUGUCCGGAAUUACUGGGCGUAAAGCGCGUGUAGGCGGCUUUUUAAGUCAGAUGUGAAAACUUAGGGCUCAACCCUGAGAUUGCAUCUGAUACUGGAGAGCUUGAGUGCAGGAGAGGAAAGUGGAAUUCCUAGUGUAGCGGUGAAAUGCGUAGAGAUUAGGAGGAACACCAGUGGCGAAGGCGACUUUCUGGCCUGUAACUGACGCUGAGACGCGAAAGCGUGGGGAGCAAAC
rnacentral:rRNA from 1 species